CCGCCGCGGGAAUACGAAGGGUGCAAGCGUUAAUCGGAAUUACUGGGCGUAAAGCGUGCGUAGGCGGUUUGUUAAGUCUGCUGUGAAAUCCCCGGGCUCAACCUGGGAAUGGCAGUGGAUACUGGCAAGCUAGAGUGUGUCAGAGGAUGGUGGAAUUCCCGGUGUAGCGGUGAAAUGCGUAGAGAUCGGGAGGAACAUCAGUGGCGAAGGCGGCCAUCUGGGACAACACUGACGCUGAGGCACGAAAGCGUGGGGAGCAAACAGGAUUAGAGACCCCGGUAGUCCCUGUCUCUUAUACACA
rnacentral:rRNA from 1 species